rnacentral:rRNA from 1 species
CCUACGGGUGACAGCAGUGAGGAAUAUUGGUCAAUGGCCGGAAGGCUGAACCAGCCAUGCCGCGUGAGUGAAGAAGUAAUUCGUUAUGUAAACUUCUAUCACCAGGGAAGAAAUUGCCGGUACCUGAUUAGGAAGCCCCGGCUAACUACGUGCCAGCAGCCGCGGUAAUACGUAGGGGGCAAGCGUUAUCCGGUUUUACUGGGUGUAAAGGGAGCGUAGACGGCAGUGCAAGUCGGGUGUGAAAGGCGGGGGCUCAACCCCCGGACUGCUCUGGAAACUGUCCGGCUGGAGUGCAGGAGAGGUAAGUGGAAUUCCUAGUGUAGCGGUGAAAUGCGUAGAUAUUAGGAGGAACACCAGUGGCGAAGGCGGCUUACUGGACUGUAACUGACGUUGAGGCUCGAAAGCGUGGGGAGCAAACAGGAUUAGAUACCCCUGUAGUC